UUUUUUGUUUUUUGGCCGCACCCACGGCAUUUGGAAGUUCCCCAGCCCAGGGAUCAACUUUGAGCUGCAGCCCAGCUGUGGCAACACCAGAUCCUUAACCCACUGCGCCAGGGCAGGGGUCAAACCAGCCACGCCAGAGACAAGCAGGAUCACUACCCGCCUCCCAGGCAGCGCGGUAACUGCUAUGUGCUUUUGCCUUUAAAAUUUGAAGAACUGAAGUGUCGUUGACAUGCAUGUUGUGUUACAGGUGUGUAACGGCGAUUCGCGGUGUUUCAAGGUUCUCCUUCACUUGCAGUUGUGAUCAAGCACUGGCUGUGUCCCCGUGCUGUGCGGCAUCUCCUUGUGGGUGGUUUAGUUUAUACCCCGUGGUGCGUCCUCUGACUCCCCCCCCAGAUCACCCUCCCGCUUCCCUCUCCCCACUGGAACCACUGGCUUGUCCUCCGUGUCUGCGAAUCGGCUUCUGUUUUGCAUGUACGUUCACUCGUUAUGUUUUGAGAUUCCACACAUAGGUGACAUCAUACAGUGUGUGUCUUUCUCACGUCACUUAGUGCGAUCAUCUCGAGCUGCCUCCGUGUCGCUCCAACUGCCUCGUUUUGUUCUUUUUGACGGGUCGUAUUCCAUUGCGUCCACGGACCACGUCGUCUUUAUCCAUUCCUCUGUGGAUGGACAUUUAGGUCGUUUCCAUGUCUUGGCUGUUGUGAAUAGUCCUGCAAUGGACACAGGGGUGCCUGGAGCUUCUCAAAUUAGGGUUUUGUCUGGGUCGAUGCCAAGGAGUGGGAUUGCGGGGACAUACUUCUAUUUUUAGAGCUUUGAGGAACUUCUGUACUGUUUUCUGUCAGGGCUGCACGGAUUUACACUCCCACCAACAGGACGUGCAUAAUACGUGGGUUUUACCCCAAGAAUUAGGGCAUCCAGUGAGUUUCUUCCACACCCGUCACGUGCCUGCUGAAGACUCGGUCUUCGGGACGGGAGGACACUAGUCCCCUUCCACGUGUGGGCAGACAGCAUCGGAAACGACAUCUCUGUUCCAUUCGUUUGAUGUCUCAGUGUCCUCCGCCUGGUGCUCCAGCUACUGAGGAUGUUGCUGAGCUAAAGUCACUUCAGAUUGUCCCAAAUUGUUUUAAGCAGGACACACUAGGAAAAGGCAGCUGCAUUUACUUUCCACAGGGCAGUUGGUGCAUUUUCACGGGAUAGGACUAAACUCAGAAUGCACGUGUCUGAGUAAAUCUUGCUCAGCGAUGGAAACAGAUGCCCGGGAAUGGUUCCUGCAGAGGGAGGACCUCCUGGUCCGUGUCUCUUGACACAGUCAAUUUCUUUUUUUCUUUAAUUUUUAAAUUAUCACGGAUUUACACUGUUCUGUCCAUUUCUGAUGUACAAGAAAGUGAUGCCGUCAUCCGUCUAUACUCACACUUCUGCAUAGUAUCUUCCGUCAUGUUCCACCACAAGUGACUGGACACAGAGUCCCCUGUGCGGGACAGCAGGACCUCGCUGCUGAUCCAUUCUCAGUGUCACAGUUUGCAUCGACUCAGCCCAAACUCCCCACUGCAUCCCCCGCCCGACCCCUCAGCAACCACAAGUUUGGUCUCCAUGUCUGGGAGUCUGUUUCUGUUCCACAGACAGGUUCAUCUGUGACAUAUUUUAGAUUCCAUAGAAGUGACAUCAUAUGGUGUUUGUCUUUCUAACUUCGCUUAGUGUGAGAAUCUCUAGUUGCAUCCACGUUGCUGUGAGUGACAUUAUUCCAUUCGUUUUUAUGGCUGAGUGGGGAACAUGACACGAAAGCGGACGUCACACGAGGCACGACAUACAAGUCAUUCGAUACAACUGCCCCAUGACACGACAAAGCUCGUAUCACGGUCCGAGAGCAUCAUGUAACCACUGAAACUAAGCCAGUCCCAUCUCAAAGCUGAGAAAGAAAAAAACCACAAAAUAUUGACUUAAACGUUAUUUUGUAUUGGAGUAGAGUUGAGUUACAAUGUUUAGCUUCAGGUGCACAGCAGAGUGAGUCCGUGACACAUGCACACACGUCCAUUGUUUCUCAGAUCCUUUUCCAGUAUAGUUCUUGCAUCACACUGAGCUGCAUGUGCUUUAUUUCCCCACGUGUUGCCUGUUUUCAGGGGCAUGGCUUUCUGUCCGAGUCCGUGUUUUAGAAGAGAAACUGCUUUAUCAUCUUUGUGGCUGCUUAAGACUCUAAGUCUUCUACAGGGAAGCAGCCGCCCGUUAAGCCUCAUUAAACACUUUGACAUGCCUGCCUGGAGGAGGGAGGGUUCUUGACAGUUUACAGACAACUUGGGCAGGAAAUCAGGGAGUUCCCUGGUGGCUCAGUGGGUUAAGGACUUGACGUCCCUGCUGCUGUGACGCAGGUUCAAUCCCUGGACCCGGAACUUCCACAUGCUGUGGGUGUGGCCAAAAAAGAGAGACACUGGUGGGAAGUUGACCAUGAUACUAAUUUUAUCAGCGAGUGUGGGUCUGGGUCCCAGCCCAGUCCCUUUGGGACCAUGUGUGGUCAGCAGAAUAAUGACCCUAAAGAUGUCUACUUCCUAAUUCCUAGUGCCCAGGACAGGCGGGCAUGUUACCUGCUGUGGUGACGCGGGGUUACAGAUGCCGGUGGAUUUAGGCUUGGCCCUGAGCUGACCUUGAGAUGGCAGCAACCUGGGAUUAUCCAGAUGGGCUCAUUGUAAGCCCAGGGUCCUCAGAAGUGGGUGAGGGGAGUUCCCGUUGUGGCUCAGCAGGUUAAGAACCCGACAGAGUGUCCAGGAGGAUAGAGGUUCAAUCCUGGGCCUUGCUCGGUGGGCUAAGGAUCUGGUCUCGCCUCACGCACAGGUGGCAGGUGAGGCUCAGACCUGGCGUUGCUCUGGUCGUAGUUCAACUCCGAUUCAACCCUGCAGCCCCGAUUCAACCCCUAGCCUGGGAACGUGCAUGUGCCGCAGGUGCUGCCCUAAAAAGAAUUAACAAAAUAAAGUGGGUGAGGGAGGGUGAGGAGGGUAGAGGGAGGAGCCGUGACCAGGUGAAGGUCCCUCCUUUCGAGACGGGAGGCUGGGCAAGGUUGCCGUGGAGCCCGACAGGUGUGUGGUCUCUGGAAGAAGGUACCACACAGAUUCUCCCCUGAAGGUUCCAGGAGGACCCACCCCACAGCCACGUCGGUCUUGGCCCCGGGAGGCUUCUGACCCCAGACCUGUGAGAUGAUAAGGGGGCAUCGUUGUAGCAUGUGUGCUGAUUUGUUCUGGCCGCCCUUGGAGAGAAAUACCGCAUAUAUGCGGCUGGUGAACUCCUAAUUGGGGUCUGUCCCGUCCAGCCUGGGGACCUCCCUGGGGACCAGACCAGGCGGAGUGAAGCCUCCGCAUGACAGGCCAACCGCGCUUUGAGUAAACUGUGACCCCCCACCGCCCGGGAAGAGGCUGGGGGGUUCCUAGCACACGUCAACCUUCUUGCUGAAGGAUCUGACGGUCAGUGAAAACCAGAGCUGUCUGCCCCCCACGGUCACGGCGGUGCAAACCAUGACUGUGUCCCCACAAGCAGUACGGACGCCUGGUCCCGAAAUUCCCUGCAGGCACCGACUCAAACGUUUCUACCUUCUCUCUCUGAUUUGUCUGUGUCAUUCCUCCACUGUUUUCCUCCUUUGUAAUUAAUGCUUUUGGCUGCACCAGCAGCAUGCAGAAGUUCCCAGGCCAGGCCAGGGUUCAAACCUGCACCACAGCAGCGACAAUGCUGGAUCCUUAACCCACCAGGGAACCCCUUUUUUAUUUGUUUGCUUAUAUAUUUACUUUCAGGACUGGGUCCGCGGCAUACGUAAUUUCCCAGGCUAGGGGUUGAAUCUGAGCUGCACCUGGGACCUACACCACAGCUCACGGCAACACCGGAUCCUGAACCCACUGAGCGAGGCCAGGGAUCAAACCCGCAUCCUCACAGAGACGAUGGCAGUGUCUUAACCCACUGAGCCACAGGGGACCUCCUGAGACCUGCUUUCACUUCCUUGGAUACAUGCCCAGAAGUGGAGUUGCGGGGUUGGGCAGCACUUGUAUUUUUCGUUCUCUGAGGACCCUCCCUCCUGUUCUCAGUGGCUGCACCAAUUUGCGUCCCACCCACCGAGUCUGAGGGUCCCUUUUCUAGAAUUGAGGAAUCUCUCUGUGCAUGUCCCAUUCCUUUUUUAUCAUCUUUAUUUGCAUGCAGAUUUUCUACAUCAAGGGUAGAGAACCCAGAUGGUGAAAAAGACACCCUCAGCUGGACUCUGGAACGUUGAGAUGGUCGGAAAACAUGCAGAUGUUUAGAAGAUGCUGGAGUGGCGUGUGCUUUAGGGUAACAGCCAAGGUCCUGCUGUACAGCACAGGGAACAAUGUCCAGUCCCGGGUGAUGGAAUCUGCUGGAGGAUAAUGCGAGGAGAACGUACGUAUUAUGUAUAACUGGUCACUUUGCUGCAGAGCAGAAAUUGAGAGAACAUGGUAAAUCAGCUCUAAUAGAAAAAUAAAAUCUUCAAAAAGAAGUAACAGCCACGGGUCUAAACACACUAUCUGGAUGUGCGUUUGGUUAUGACGCAUUCGUUCCUUUAGAAUCAGGUGACUCUGUUUCUGUUCGUAGCCGUCCUGGUGAGGGGGAGGCGGUGUCUUACUGCUGGUUCGCACCUGUCUCAUGAUGGGCGACAUCGAGCAUCCUUUCAGGUGCUCAUUGGCUAUGGGUGUGUCUUCUUGGCAGAACCCUCUUUCCAUGCGGUUUGUCCAGUUAAAGAAUUUGGUGGCUUGGUUUUCUUCAUGGUUGUGAACGUUUCAAAAUAUAUAUGUAUUCAGUGGUUUGGAUUUUUUUUAUGGUAACGUUUGUUCAGAAACAUUCAGUGGUUUGGUUUCUUCAUGGUUAACUUUUAAAAAUCAGUAGUUUUGGAGUUCCUGUCGUGGUGCGGCGGCAACAAAUCUGACCAGGAACCAUGAGGAUGCAGGUUUGAUCCCUGGGCUCGCUCCGUGGGUUAAGGAUCCGGUGUUGCCGUGGCUGUGGUGUAGGCCGGCAGCUGUAGCUCCGAUUCGACCCCUAGCCUGGGAACCUCCAUACGUCUCGGGUGCGGCCCUAAAACGAUUUAAAAAAAAAAUCAAUGGUUUCGUCUUCUUGGGGUUAACUUUUUUCAUUUUUCAGUUUCAUCGAAGGAGAGUCAAUAUACAAGGUUGUGGCCAUUUCUGCUGGGCAGCAAAGUGACUCUGUGAUCCACAUGCAUCCAUUCGCUCUCAGAUGCUCUGCCCUCAGGGGAGAUGGCGCAAUCCUGGGUACAGUUCCCUGUGCUCGCCAGCAGGUCCCUGUGGACCGUCCACUCCCCACACAAGACUUAAGGAUGCUUCUCUUCUGACGGCGGGACACGGGCUUCUGUCCAUCCUCGCCUCUCUCUCCAGGGGUAGCAAUCCCGCUGCCUUCCUCUCCAUCACUCCUGGGGCCUCUCCCGUUUGGAGAAAAGAGAACUGUCGGAUCCUGUGGGUAUUUCCUAGACUCGGGGAGCCUGGAGGUGAACCCUCGUGUGCUCUUCUUUCGAUUUUUGUCACCAGAGACUGUUCUUAUGCUUCCCAGCACCUGCCUGUAUUGGGUGUAAAGGAUCCUGAGAGCGACAGCUUGUGACGUCCUCCUGAGUGAUGCUGAGGUGAUGCAGUCCCGUGGUCUUCAGCCUGCAAAGCCAUUUUGCCCAAGAAGCCCCAUUCCCGGGGCAUCCUGCCAUACGAGAAAGGCUGCCAGGGUAGGUCUCGGUUGCAAAGAAAUGUUCCUUAAAACUCAGCUCUCAUCUCCAUGCCUCUCACUGUCUCCCAGUCUCCACAUAC
rnacentral:lncRNA from 1 species